GACGAACGCUGGCGGCAGGCCUAACACAUGCAAGUCGAACGAGUGGCGGACGGGUGAGUAAUGUCUGGGAAACUGCCUGAUGGAGGGGGAUAACUACUGGAAACGGUAGCUAAUACCGCAUACCAUCAGAUGUGCCCAGAUGGGAGUAGCGAGGAGGGGGGGUAACGGCGCACCUAGGCGACGCUCCCUAGAUGGUCUUAGAGGAUGACCAGCCACACUGGAACUGAGACACGGUCCAGACUCCUACGGGAGGCAGCAGUGGGGAAUAUUGCACAAUGGGCGCAAGCCUGAUGCAGCCAUGCCGCGUGUAUGAAGAAGGCCUUCGGGUUGUAAAGUACUUUCAGCGGGGAGGCGUUACCCGCAGAAGAAGCACCGGCUAACUCCGUGCCAGCAGCCGCGGUAAUAC
rnacentral:rRNA from 1 species